rnacentral:ribozyme from 1 species
UAAAAAAAAAAAACGAAAUGAAAAUGGAUUGAUAAUUUGUGUUUGUGUGUGUUUGAUCCUCUACUUUACUCUCUU